rnacentral:lncRNA from 1 species
GAACACACUCAGAGAGAACACACAAAGAAAAGACAGAAAGGGCAGGGGGUCUCCAUUAGACGGAAUUGACCAGAAGCAUGCGGCCAAGAGAAGUGCCCCCUGAGGACAGACUGAUAGACCAAGUUAGCCCGGGCGAGACUCAAACAGUAAGUAACUUGGGGAACACACUGAGAAAUAGCCAGUCUAGCGUAGAAAAAUAUUUUAGGGAUUGUGAUGGCUAUUCCUGGUUAUCAAUGUGACUACAUCUGGAACGAGCUACAAUCUAGAAAUGGAGGGCACACCUGUGACCCAGAUCUUGAGGUUGGAAGACACAGGUUUUUGACUUAGAUCUUGAUGUGGAGAUCUUGAGGCACAGUGGCCAUGAAAAGCUUAGGUCCAGGCAAGGUAGUAUAGGCCUUUAAUUCCAGGAGACUGAGGCAAGCAGGUUACUAAAUUCAAGGUCAGCCUGGAACAAAGCAAAUUCCAGAUCUAGGCGUGGGUACGCACCUUUAAUCUGGGCCACACCUUCUGCUGGAGGCCUACAUAAGGACACUGGAAGAAGGAAGAUUCACUCUGCCAGCACAUCUGUUGGAACCUACUUCUACAGAAGACCAGCUUAAACAACUAGCCUCACAACUGGGUCACAAGGAGGCUAGACUUGAAUAGUUCAUUAGCCAUUUUUAACAGUCCCGAUAGUGAUGCUUCUUAGAAAAGGAAGUCCAGCUUUUAUAUAGGACUUCGGGGCUUUUGAGAUCCUACUUGUGGCUUAGUGCUAGAGACUUGGAGACAUCUAUACAGUGCAUGGCUGUAGGCUUCUGCUGAGGCAGUCUCUCAGCUGUGUUCGCUGAGCCCCUUCCCGCACUCUUAUUGCUCUGUUCUUGUUCAUACUUCCUGCCUCUUGUCUCCUGUCUGAAUGAUCUUUUGGCCCUAGUCAAAACCUAGUUAAUUUGGCCUAUAAAAUGGCUCAUGCCUGACAAUCCAAGUUAGAUUCACGGAAGCCACAGUAGAAGGGAAAACCUCACUCCUGAGCAUUGUCCUCUAGCCUUUACAGUAUGCACCCUGACAGGCUCCCACAUCCCACACAUGCAUCAUUCAUAAUAAACAUGUACUAAUAAAAACUUGUUUUGCCCCCAGCAGUUUUGGGACAUUAAACUCUGCACCUUUAUGUUGUGCAAGUGCUGUAUCUGAGCCACAAUCCCAGCCUCUGCCUCUCUCUCCCCUUUUUCUGUGGUGCUGAGGAAUUAAACCUUAGAACGUCACGCUGCUCUGAAAGGUUUUACUGUAAAAUAGCCUGAGUUACUCAAACUGUUCUUGAACUCAUUUUGCAACCCUGCCUCUUGAGUAGCUGGAAUGUCACGUCUAGGUCUUGAGGUGGGGGUGACACAUAUGAUAGAUAUGGCAUUCAAGUCUUUGCUUUGCUUUGUUUUAUUUUGGGGUUGGGGGCAAGGUUUCUCUGUGUAACCCUCACACUUGCUUUGUAGUCCAGGAUAGCCUCUAACUCAGAGAUCCAUAUGCCACCACUGCCUAGCUCAGUCUUUGCUUUUUUUGAGAUAAAGUCUUACUUUGUAGUUUAUGCUAGCUUUGAAAUGGCCGUCUUCCUGCCUUAGCUGCCCUGGUGCUAAGAUUACACCUGUGUAUCACCACAGCUGGCUGAGGGAAGUAAACAAAAGCUUGUAUUCAGGGCUGGAGAGAUGGCUCCAUGGUUAAGAGCACUUGUUAUUCUUGCAGAGGACCUAUGUUUGGUCCGCAGUAUCAACAUGGUGAUUCACAAUCAUCUGUGACUCCAGUUCGCAGGGUCCAGGACUCUCUUCUGACCGUUAGGGGCACCAGGCACGGAGGUGAUGCACAGACAUAUAUAUAUAUACACACAUUCAUACACAUAAAAAUGAAAGAAGCUGAAAUAAGUAAGUAAACAAAUAAAUGUAUGUCACUUGGCCGCAAUACUUUUUUGUUGUUUUUUGUUUCUAUAUGAACUGAAAUUCCUUAAGCUUUAGAAUGAGUGGGCUCAGAAAAGCCUUAACUUCACAAGUCUCUUUCUUUUGCAGUUUUUCAAUAAUGUUUUAAAACAUGGUAGUGUAUUUUUAAAGAUCCCUUGACUCCAAUUCUUCCUUUCAUCAGGAUCAGUUUCUUCUGUUUCCAGUAUGCCUUCCAUGGUAACAUUUAUUUUAUUCUCAGCCAUUUCUCCUUAGGGCAUACUGUGCCACAUAACGAUCCUUUGGUAGGUCAGCUUUGAAUGUCUAGGUGGGAUACUGCUUUUUCUUCUUCACUCAGUCAGUCUUAAAAAAUAAAAUAAAAUAAAGCCUCCCUCCCCCAGCUUUAGGUACUGUUAUCUAAUUGGCUAGUCCUUUGAAGCCUACAGGGUAUUCUGGAGUUCUGUUCACAAGUUCAUCAGCUAGUUCUUCUUUUCCUCUCAAACUGUCUAGAGUCUCUUGGUAGUUUGCCCUCAUCUAGUAGUGUUUGGACUCAGUAACAUGGGGCUACUGAAUCACAUGAAUUCUAUCUAUUUUCAUUCAGUGGUUCAAAGGAUGAAUAACUGUGCUGAUACCAUCCUCACUCUCGUUCUAAAACACAUCGCUCCCCAUCCUCUCCCUCUGGGUGUGCUUCUGUUCACCCUGGCAACCACACAGGAAACUAAAUGUUCUUCAUUUAGUUUUUUUUGUCUGUUUUUUGAGGCAGGGUCUCUCAGUGAACCUGAAGCUCACUGAUCAGUUGGACGAGUUGGCCUGAGAGCCCUCAGGCUUCACCUGUCCCUGCUCUCUAGUGCUGGUUACAGGUGCUCUAUGCUGCUCCCGGCUUUUAUGUGGGUGCUUGGGUCCUUCCCUCCUAGUCUUCCUUUUUUGGUCUUCUGUUAAAUAAAAUAUUUGUGAAAGGCCUAACUUUGAUACAUCGAGUUUCUUGUUUUGUCAGGUCUGUGUUCCAUGGCUGUCAGUUUAUCUACCUACCUCUGCCUGCUCAGUGCUGGGAUUGAAGGUGUAGGACACCAUGCCCCGCUGACACACCAACAAGUUUUAAAGUUUAUUUUCAGUGUAAUUUUAAAGCAAUCCUUACUUUCAAUCUACUGUAAAACUUUCACAAAAUCUAUCUUGCUUCCCAUGUCAUGAUGUUGCUUUAAAAGACUGUUUUGUUUUUACAAUGAAAUUCCCCAGGAUGGUGAACCCAAGAUAUUUUUACCAAAUAAAUGUCUGUGAUCAAAGAGCAUAGAAUAAAAAUGUUAUUGAACACAUUAGGCUAGAAAAUAUUUAUUGAUUAAAGAUCCUGAAAAAGAAAAACAAUGCCUCCAUUUUCACUUUUCUCCCUGAAAAUAAAUACCAUCUAAAUUUAAGUCAACCAAAUUCAUACCAUCUAAUCUUAACUAAAAUAAGGGGAAGACAAGUCAGCAUUUUCGAACUUUUUAUAAGGUUUCUUUUAUAUGCCAACUUUCAUUAGAAGUUAAUAUCAAAAGAAUCCUUUCCAGAGGCUGGAUUCUAUCUUUAACCUUAUAAGUACCUUAAAACAAACAAACAAAAAAAAAACCCCACAUAAUUGACAACUUCCAGUAUUAAUACAGUGCUACUUAUCACAAAUAAUUUAUUAAGUAUACAAAUUUCAAAAACGAGUUUUUUUUUUCUGUAAACCAAAGUCAUUAAAUGUGACAUACUACAUUAUCAUUCAAAGUCUAGUUUACCUAUUAGAACAUUUGGUUUCUCUCCUCCGUCAUUCAAACAUGCAGAUAUAUUCUAGUAUAUAGUAUAUAUAAAUAUACAAAUACACACUUUUAGAACUC